UACGUAGGGUGCAAGCGUUGUCCGGAUUUAUUGGGUUUAAAGGGUGCGUAGGCGGCUUUGUAAGUCAGUGGUGAAAUACUCUAGCUUAACUAGAGGGGUGCCAUUGAUACUGCGGAGCUUGAGUACAGAUGAGGUGGGCGGAAUUGACGGUGUAGCGGUGAAAUGCAUAGAUAUCGUCAAGAACACCGAUAGCGAAGGCAGCUUACUGGGCUGUAACUGACGCUGAUGCGCGAAAGUGUGGGGAUCAAACAGG
rnacentral:rRNA from 1 species